UCCCCUCCCAGUGCCUGGCCCAUAGAUAUCUGAUGAAUUACUGGGUACCUGUUCUGUGCAGAUGCUGUGUGGGUACAGAAAUCACCACGGACCAAGGCCCUGCUUUCUUGGAGCUUCUGCUCUAGUUGGGAGAUACAAACAAAAUACAAAUUACAAACAUAAUACACCACAUGAUACAUAUGCUAAGAAGAAAAUAGAGCCUAGCAAAGAGACAGUGAGACAGGGUGAGGGAUGCUGUUUUAAAUAUAAUGCUCCUAUUGGUAGAGAGGAGACCCCCUUUUGUUGAAUGUAUUCUGGUUGGUGCAGCCAGACCAACACAUGACAUUCAGCUACAGCAGGUAGCAGGUAGCAGGUGUCGGCAACAGCAACCCCAGGCCAAGGACGGCCCCCAUCUCCUGUUUUCGUACGUGAAGUUUUAUUGGAACAUAGCAAUUCCCAUUUGUUUACCUAUUGUCUAUGACUGUUUUCAGACUACAAUGGCAGAGUUGCACAGUGGUGACAGAAACCGUAUGUCUCUUGCAGAAAAAGUUUGCUGACCUCUGAAUUAGAGACUCACGCAAUACAAUGCAUCAUCAGUGGCAGAUUGCCAUGUGAACAGACCCUAAAUUCUAUGGUAAUGACUCUGUGUCAUUCCCUUCCUCUGCAAUAGGGAUAGUGCUUUCUUUGACUCAAUUUUCCUAGGCACUGUGUUGGUACACGGACGCGGAUCCCUCAGUUCCUGAGGGGGCGAGAAGGUGGAGGUGCCCAGAAAGCAGGCUUCAGCUGAUAAAAUUCAAAGCUUUGAGAUACGCCUUUGAUGUUGGUAUUCUCUGCAGAUUCGAUAUUAUUUUAAGUCUCUUUGUUUAAAAAUUCAUUUUUAUUAUCCCUGCAUGAAAUGCAUGGCAAUUCCCCAAAUAACGAGCCAUCAGUGCAAUUAACAUCGUCGAUCGACACCAGCGUCCUGAUAAUUAAUACAGACGCGCUGCCUCCCCAGCGAGAACUGUGAGGGCUUGAUUUUUCAGAGCAACUGUUCAUUUACAGACUCAGCUUCAACCUAAUGAAAAUGGAUUGUGAAACUUUAAUGAACAAGACUUUGCUGUCAUAAUAAUAAAGACUUUGAAACAACGCGGAGGCCUCCAUAGCAAGCGUCUGGCGCCGUGCUUGUUGCUACGGUACGUCAAACCAAUUAAGCCGUAUGAUGAAUAUUUACACCGAGGUUUUUUUCAACUCUAUGACAUAAGAUAAACUCGUAAAAGUGAGCAUUAAUUCUGCAUCAACAGUUUCUGACAUUACAUCGCGGCAAAGAUGCAUCCGCCCAGCCAAAAGGCUGCGUCUGCCCACCUCUGUUUUGUCUUAAUAAAUGUCAACAAAGGAUUAGAAUGCUCCGAAAAUCCAA